rnacentral:rRNA from 1 species
UACAGAGGUCUCAAGCGUUGUUCGGAUUCAUUGGGCGUAAAGGGUGCGUAGGCGGCGCCGUAAGUCGGAUGUGAAAUCUCAGGGCUCAACCCUGAAACUGCAUUCGAUACUGCGGUGCUCGAGGACUCGAGAGGAGAUUGGAAUUCACGGUGUAGCAGUGAAAUGCGUAGAUAUCGUGAGGAAGACCAGUGGCGAAGGCGGAGCUCUGGAGAGUUCCUGACGCUGAGGCACGAAGGCCAGGGGAGCAAACGGG